AGCGAACGCUGGCGGCAGGCCUAACACAUGCAAGUCGAACGGAUCCCUCGGGAUUAGUGGCGGACGGGUGAGUAACACGUGGGAACGUGCCCUUUGGUUCGGAACAACUCAGGGAAACUUGAGCUAAUACCGGAUGUGCCCUUCGGGGGAAAGAUUUAUCGCCAUGGAGCGGCCCGCGUCUGAUUAGCUAGUUGGUGAGGUAAAGGCUCAACAAGGCGGCGAUCAGUAGCUGGUCUGAGAGGAUGAUCAGCCACAUUGGGACUGAGACACGGCCCAAACUCCUACGGGAGGCAGCAGUGGGGAAUCUUGCGCAAUGGGCGAAAGCCUGACGCAGCCAUGCCGCGUGAAUGAUGAAGGUCUUAGGAUUGUAAAAUUCUUUCACCGGGGACGAUAAUGACGGUACCCGGAGAAGAAGCCCCGGCUAACUUCGUGCCAGCCGCCGCGGUAA
rnacentral:rRNA from 1 species